rnacentral:rRNA from 1 species
UACGUAGGGGGCGAGCGUUGUCCGGAUUUAUUGGGCGUAAAGAGCUCGUAGGCGGUUUGUCGCGUCGAAUGUGAAAACCCGGGGCUCAACCCCGGGCCUGCAUUCGAUACGGGCAGACUAGAGUUCGGUAGGGGAGUCUGGAAUUCCUGGUGUAGCGGUGAAAUGCGCAGAUAUCAGGAGGAACACCGGUGGCGAAGGCGGGACUCUGGGCCGAUACUGACGCUGAGGAGCGAAAGCGUGGGGAGCAAACAGG